AUUGAACGCUGGCGGCAGGCUUAACACAUGCAAGUCGAGCGGAGAGAGGUAGCUUGCUACUGAUCUUAGCGGCGGACGGGUGAGUAAUGCUUAGGAAUCUGCCUAUUAGUGGGGGACAACAUUUCGAAAGGAAUGCUAAUACCGCAUACGUCCUACGGGAGAAAGCAGGGGAUCUUCGGACCUUGCGCUAAUAGAUGAGCCUAAGUCGGAUUAGCUAGUUGGUGGGGUAAAGGCCUACCAAGGCGACGAUCUGUAGCGGGUCUGAGAGGAUGAUCCGCCACCCUGGGACUGAAACACGGCCCAGACUCCUACGGGAGGCAGCAGUGGGGAAUAUUGGACAAUGGGCGGAAGCCUGAUCCAGCCAUGCCGCGUGUGUGAAGAAGGCCUUAUGGUUGUAAAGCACUUUAAGCGAGGAGGAGGCUACUUUAGUUAAUACCUAGAGAUAGUGGACGUUACUCGCAGAAUAAGCACCGGCUAUCUCUGUGCCAGCCGCCGCGGUAA
rnacentral:rRNA from 1 species